rnacentral:rRNA from 1 species
AGAGUUUGAUCCUGGCUCAGAACGAACGCUGGCGGCGUGGAUAAGACAUGCAAGUCGUGCGACAGACCAGGAAUUGAUUACUUCGGUUUGAUUUUCCUGACGAUGAGCGGCGAACGGGUGCGUAACACGUGAGAAAUCUGCCCUUAAGUUCGGAAUAGCCCUACGAAAGUAGAAUUAAUACCGGAUGUGGCCCAGGGAGGGCAUCUUCCCCUGGCUAAAGCUUGACCAGCAAUGGUUAGAGCGCUUUUGGAUGAUCUCGCGGUCUAUCAGCUUGUUGGUGAGGUAACGGCUCACCAAGGCUUUGACGGAUAGCUGGUCUGAGAGGAUGAUCAGCCUCACUGGAACUGAGACACGGUCCAGACACCUACGGGUGGCAGCAGUCGAGAAUCAUUCACAAUGGGCGCAAGCCUGAUGGUGCGACGCCGCGUGGGGGAUGAAGGGCUUCGGUUCGUAAACCCCUGUCAUCUGUGAGUAAGACUCCCAAUAAAAGCUUGGGAGGUUGAUAUUAGCAGAAGAGGAAGGGACGGCUAACUCUGUGCCAGCAGCCGCGGUAAUACAGAGGUCCCAAGCGUUGUUCGGAUUUACUGGGCGUAAAGGGUGCGUAGGCGGCUAGAAAAGUUUGGUGUGAAAUCUUCGGGCUCAACCCGGAAACUGCACUGAAAACUGUCUGGCUAGAGGAUCGGAGAGGAGAUUGGAAUUCUCGGUGUAGCAGUGAAAUGCGU